rnacentral:rRNA from 1 species
UACGGAGGGUGCGAGCGUUGUCCGGAAUCAUUGGGCGUAAAGGGCGCGUAGGCGGCCUGGUAAGUCGGGGGUGAAAUCCUGCGGCUUAACCGCGGGGCUGCCUUCGAAACUGUCGGGCUCGAGUACGGUAGAGGCAGAUGGAAUUCCCGGUGUAGCGGUGGAAUGCGUAGAGAUCGGGAAGAACAUCAGUGGCGAAGGCGGUUUGCUGGGCCGUUGCUGACGCUGAGGAGCGACAGCGUGGGGAGCAAACAGG